rnacentral:rRNA from 1 species
UAGGGAAUCUUCGGCAAUGGGGGGAACCCUGACCGAGCAACGCCGCGUGAGUGAAGAAGGUUUUCGGAUCGUAAAGCUCUGUUGUUAAGGAAGAACGAGUGUGAGAAUGGAAAGUUCAUGCUGUGACGGUACUUAACCAGUAAGGGACGGCUAACUACGUGCCAGCAGCCGCGGUAAUACGUAGGUCCCGAGCGUUGUCCGGAUUUAUUGGGCGUAAAGCGAGCGCAGGCGGUUAGAAAAGUCUGAAGUGAAAGGCAGUGGCUCAACCAUUGUAGGCUUUGGAAACUGUUUAACUUGAGUGCAGAAGGGGAGAGUGGAAUUCCAUGUGUAGCGGUGAAAUGCGUAGAUAUAUGGAGGAACACCGGUUGCGAAAGCGGCUCUCUGGUCUGUAACUGACGCUGAGGCUCGAAAGCGUGGGGAGCGAACAGG